UUAAAUUUUGACUUAUUCCGGGUGUUCUAUUUUCUUUUAACAGUCGACUGUUUCGACUGUUUACCGACCAAACAGUCAACUGUUUACCGACCAAACAGUCGACUGUUAGCCGACUGUUAACCGACUUAACAGACACGACUUUUAGGAACAGCAUGUCUGUUUGGAUUUUUGAAGCUUGUCUGAAAGGUGAUAACUGUUCGAAUGGCCACGAACAAGUCUAUAAAUAGCCA
rnacentral:lncRNA from 1 species